GACGAACGCUGGCGGCGUGCUUAACACAUGCAAGUCGAGCGGUAAGGCCCUUUCGGGGUACGACGAGCGGCGAACGGGUAGGAGUAACAACGUGGGUGGACCUCGCCCUCCAGCUCUGGGAGUAAGCCUGGGAAACGUAGGGUCGUAAUACUGGAUAUGACUCCACGGUGCAUGUCGUGGGGUGGAAAGCCUUGUGCGGCUGAGGAUGGGCCCGCGGCCUAUCAGCUUGUUGGGGGGGUGA
rnacentral:rRNA from 1 species